GCACCGUGUAACGCACGAUUGUCAUUUGCCUGAGAGUUGUCAGUUUCAAUGGUUUGAAUUGAAGAAGGAAGAUUAAUAUGGGUAUAAGCGGUGCGUUGACUGAGGAUAUAAUGCUUCAGUCAAUGACCGACCGGUGAGACAAAAUUCACGUUCAAUGUUAUGAUUAACGAGCACUGGUGUUUAAGUGAGAUAUCCGACUGAUCGACAGUUGUCUCACGUUUGUGCAUGUCGCGUCGUUUUCGAUUUCAUUUGAAGUAAAACUUCUUUUCUCUGAUAGCAACAGACUUUUGUUUUUUCGGACGUGCAGUGAAGUGAGUUGACUACGCGAGUUGAUGUGAUUCGAAGAGGCUGAAGUUGGUAUCGUUAACGUAACGAAGCCACUGUAACAAAUGAUCACUGUGCAAUUUCCGAAUGACUUUCAAGAAGUUAGCUUUUCAAAAUACUUGGAAGUAUGUUUUGUAUAUCAUGGUUUACUAAAUUUAAAACGAUCCUGAAGACGCGAAGUAACGAUUUCUCCGAAAUGUGCAUCAUUACAUGCAGUAACGUUACUAAUCUUCAUCUUCGUGUAAAAUACACAGGUAUCAGUUCACUUAAUUACGCAAUUGUGUAUAUUAAAACAACCCACACGAGGAAUAUAAUAUCGCGAUCCUAGUCUUCGAGAGAGUAAAAAAACGGACCUGCCACUAACUCGGGGAAGACUAGACUGGCGGAGGAUCGUUCUUUAAAGGUCGCGCGCGCACAACCCGACUGUUCCCGGCAGCUUAUCGACCUCCAACCAACACCCUGGACGCUAGCCAAAGG